ensembl:lncRNA
GUUUUGCAUCUAUAGAAUGACCUGUGGGAUGGCUUCUCUUGCUCCCUCCGGUCAAAUAUAUUAAACUCGCGCAUUCAGUGUAGACACAGAAACACCAUUCAAUAGCUUUUAAAAGUCCCUUGUGGAUAGUACCAGUCACACUGCUGGCAGGAAGUGCAUGGAUCAUAUUUUGUAAUGCUGCGGUUUUGAGUCAAGAAGACACUUUGGUGGGAUGACCUCACUGAGUGUCUCCGUUCAUUAUCUGAUGAAUCAGCUCCAGGCUAUGAACAUUUCUUCCGUCUUCACCAACACGCGAAGUCAAAGCCAACAGCAAUGCUCAGUAUGGAAUAUGUAAAAUUUUGACUCAGACAUACAUGCUUAUAGCAACUGUAGCUAAAUGCAAACACUGAUUUACAAAAGUAGUACAUGUUUCUGGAUCAACAUCCUUUGUUGUUGAACAACAUGAAACUGUGAACCAAUCAGAGCCCUAGUCCUACUCCCAACCUUGAAUUAUUUAAUUUAGCCUCUUUUUAUAAAUUCAUUUAUAUCUUUUAUAUCAUACAUCAUUUUUCAUUUCAUUUUUAUUUAGACCUCCAUAGACCUGUUGAGUGUUGCUGUUGUUGUUCAGUAUGGAAUCUGCUCCAGGCUGUCUUCACAAAUACAACAGCUGAAAUCCAACAUCAAAAGAGUCCAACUAGAUGGAGAUCAGUCUGUCUUUAGCCUUCCUCCUCCCCAGCACCACCUGUCUAGAUUGGCUGUGGGGUUCUCUUGGAGGGGGGCAGUCAUGGCCUAAUGGAUAUUGAGUCAGACUUGAGGUGAGACUGAGGUGAAACCCCCAACUGCUCCCCGGGCUGCCCACUGCUCCAGGUGUGUGUGUGUGUCCACACUUUGGAUGGGUUAAAUGCAAAGCACAAAUUCUUCACUACUCACUGCUGUGUGUGUGUGUGUGUGCGCUUGGAUGGGUUAAAUGCAGAGUACAAAUUCCAAGUAUGGGACACCAUACUUGGCCACACGUCCUUUCCAUUCCUCUUUUGUCU